AGGAGAAGGGCCAGACCAGGAGGAAGUCUCCGUUGUGGAUCUGGACUCUGUUAUGGACCAGCUGUAUCUGCCAGGUAAUAACACUAAACCCUGACCCUUAACCCCUAGUUACCUGCUGAAUCUGUCAGGUAAUAACACUAACCCCUGACCCUAAUCCCUAGUUACCUGCUGAAUCUGUGAGGUAAUAACACUAAACCCUGACCCUUAACCCCUAGUUACCUGCUGAAUCUGUCAGGUAAUAACACUAACCCCUGACCCCUAAUCCCUAGUUACCUGUUGUGUCUGUCAGGUAAUACCACUAACCCUUAACCCCUAGUUACCUGCUGUGUCNNNNNNNNNNNNNNNNNNNNNNNNNNNNNNNNNNNNNNNNNNNNNNNNNNNNNNNNNNNNNNNNNNNNNNNNNNNNNNNNNNNNNNNNNNNNNNNNNNNNNNNNNNNNNNNNNNNNNCUGCGUUCCAGAACACAAAGAAACAACCUUUCUGUUGUAUCUACCUUUCUGUUGUAUCUAAUGUAGAACCUUUUUGAUGGAUCUAAUGUAGAACCUUUCUGUUGGAUCUAAUGUAGAACCUUUCUGUUGUAUUUCAUGUAGAACCUUUCUGUUGUAUUUCAUGUAGAACCUUUCUGCUGUAUUUCAUGUAGAACAUUUCUGUUGUAUUUCAUGUAGAACCUUUCUGUUGUAUUUCAUGUAGAACCUUUCUGUUGUAUUUUAUGAAGAACCUAUGGUAAUGGAUCUAAUGUAGACCCUUUCUGUUGUAGAACCUGGCGAUGUUCCUGAGCAUGCUGGUGGCCUGGUUGAUCCCUGAUGUUCCUCGUUCUCUUAGAGAACAGGUCAGGAAAGAGAACAUGUUGCUGAUGGAGUUCCUUGUUCAGGAUGAACAGGAGGCCCUACGCUCCAGACUUCCACACCGCUCCCCCACACGACAACCUGCACAAACACAUAACAUACACUCACACAUUGACAUAGUGGUGGAGGGGUCAGUGGGAGAAGAGGGGGCGGAGGAGGAGAAUAUGGACAGAUCAGGACAAACCCUGGAGAGCCCAGAUAGCACUGACCCAGCAGAAGGAGGAGAAGAAGGAGGGGGAAAAGAUGGGAGAGGAGAAGAGGGGAAAGAAGAAGAGUCAGAAGAGCAGAGCGAAGGAGUGGGAGAAGGAGGAGAAGACGGGAGAGAAGGAGCAGAAGGAGACAGAGAAGGAGAAGGGCCAGACCAGGAGGAAGUCUCCGUUGUGGAUCUGGACUCUGUUAUGGACCAGCUGUAUCUGCCAGACCCAGAGCCGUCCCAGAGCCUAGCUGACAUGGAGCUGCCUGUCUCUGGAGCUGCCCGACUGGAGCAGGAGGACGAGCCACCAGGCCCAGACAGCCCUCCAGCUGCCCCAGUAGGGGACACAGCCUCCCCCGAGACGCCCCUGGCCAAGACCCACCCAGCAGGCCUGAAGGCUGCAGACAGCAGGCUGUUCUCCAGAGGCCCUCCCCUCAUAGAUUCAGCAUACUCCAGGACCAAGGGCCGCUGCUCCACCCUGCCUCCCAAACAGAGAGGGCCUGAGCCAGGGCACAGCCGGCCCCGACCCAGCCACUCAACCAGUCUCACGAAGUUCCACCUUCCACCUCUACCUCCUCUGGCCCCCUCACCUUCCCCUACAAACACCCCUCAGUCACCCCCUCCCAAGCCCCUGUCUCACAGUGAACUGUUCAUGCUGAAGGGGCCUCCCAGAAGAGAACCAGGAGGCUCCAGUGCUAAGGGGCGCUGCUCCACUCUGCCUGCCCGCCAGCGAGGUCCGGAGGCUGGGGAGAGCUCGUCCAGACCGAGCCAUUCUUCCAGCUUCACCCGGCAGGAAGACCGUAUCCCCCCAUCCCCCAGUGAACUAAAACAAGACACCCCGGUGUGAGGAGAGGGGAAAUAGAGGGGGAGGAUUAGAGAGGGACAGCUGAGUCUCAUCAUCAGAGAAAUUGAUCCGUCCAUCUCUCCGUCUUCAUCCACCCAUCUCAUAUGACAGCUCAGAUGCAACACUGACUUGGUUGUAGAAACCAAAUGAACCUGUUCUUCUUCUAACGCAUCAGUUAAUAGCUCAGGUCGAUUCACUGGGUUUAUAAAGGAGAAUGAAGCGGAAUAAACCAGGAUAAAAGAGAGUAGAGGAGAAUAAAGCAUAAUAAAAUGUAUUAAAGGAUAAUAAAGAAAAAUAAAAGAGACUAAAAUAGAAUGAAGGAGAAUAAACAAGAAUAAUGGGGAAUAAAGUAUAAUAAACCAAAAUAAAUUAGAAUAAAGGAGAAUAAACCAGGAUAAAUGAGAAUUAAGGAGUUAUAAACUGGGUGGUUCGAGCCCUGAAUGCUGAUUGGCUGACAGCCAUGGUAUAUCAGACCGUAUACUACGGGUAUGACAAAACACAUAUAAUUACGUUGGUAACCAGUUUAUAAUAGCAAUAAGGCAACUCAGGGGUUUGUGGUAUGUGGCCAAUAUACCAUGGCUAAGGGCUGUAUUCAGGCACUCCUCGUUGUGUCUUGCAAAAGAACAGUCCUUAGCUGUGGUAUAUUGGCCAUAUACCACACCUCCGUGUGUAUUAUUGCUUAAAUAUACCGGGACAACGGAGAAUAAACCACAACAAAAAAUAACAAAGGAGAACAAACCAGGAUAAAGGAGACUAAAGGAGAACAAACCAGGAUAAAGGAGAAUAAACCAGAACAAAGAAGAAUAGAGGAGUAUAAACCAGGAUAAAG
rnacentral:lncRNA from 13 species